rnacentral:rRNA from 1 species
AAAUUGAAGAGUUUGAUCAUGGCUCAGAUUGAACGCUGGCGGCAGGCCUAACACAUGCAAGUCAAGCGGUAGCACAAAAAAGCUUGGUCUCUAGGUGAGGAGAGACAGACGAGUAAGUAAUGUUUGGGAAACUGCCUGAUAGUGGGGGAUAACUAAUAGAAACGGUAGCUAAUGCCGCAUAUACCGCAUAACGCCGCAAGACCAAAGUGGGGGACACUCAGGCCGCACGCCAUCAGAUGUGCCCAGGCGGGAUUAACUGGCAAAUAGGGUAACGUCCCACUUAGGCAACCAUCCCUGGCUAGUCUGAGAGAAUGACCAGCCACACUGGAACUGAGACACGGUCCAGACUCCUACGGGAGGCAGCAGUGGGGAAUACUCACAAUGGGCGCAAGCCUGAUGCAGCCAUGCGGCGUGUGUGAAAAAAGCCUUCGGGUUGUAAAGCACUUUCAGCGAGAAAAAAAGUAAUGUGCUAACAAGACAUUGCAUUGACGCUACUCGAAGAAGAAGCAACAGCUAACUCCGUGCUAGCAGCCGCGGUAAUACUGAGGGUACAAGUGCUAAUCAGAAUUACUGGGCGUAAGGCGCCCGCAGGCGGUUUAUUAAGUCAGAUCUGAAAUCCCCGCGCUCAACGCGGGAACGGCAUUUGAGACUGGCAAGCUAGAGUCUUGUAGAGGAGGGUAAAAUUCCAGGUGUAGCGGCGAAAUGCGUAUAGAUCUGGAGAAAUGCCGGCGGCAAAGGCGGCCCCCUAGACAAAAACUGACGCUCACGUGCGAAAACGUGGGAAGCAAACAGGAUUAGAUACCCUGGUAGUCCAUGUUGUAAACGAUGUCGAUUUGGAGGCUGCGCCCCUGAGAGAUAGCUUCCGUGGCUAACGCGUUAAAUCGACCGCCCGGGGAGUACAGCCGCAAGGUUAAAACUCAAAUAAAUAAAUUGACGGGGGCCGGCACAAGCGGUGAAGCACGUGGCUUAAUUCGAUGCAACGCGAAAAACCUUACCUACUCUCGGCAUCCAGAGAACUCUCCAGAAAUAGAGAACUCUCCAGAAAUAGAGAAGUGCCUUCGGGAGCUCUGAGACAGGCGCUGCAUAGCUGUCGUCAGCUCGUGUUGCGAAGAGAAGCGACCUCGCAAAAGCAAGCGGACCUCACAAAGUACGUCGUAGUCCAAAUUGGAGUCUGCAACUCGACUCCAUGAAGUCGGAAUCGCUAGUAAUCGUAGAUCAGAAUGCUGCGGUGAACACGUUCCCGAGACCUGUACACACCGCCCCUCACACCACGGGAGCAGGCUGCAAAAGAAGUAGGUAGCUCAACCUUCGGGAGGGCGCCCACCACCUUGUGAUUCAUGACCGGGGUAAAGUCGUAACAAGGUAACCGUAAAGGAACCUCCGGUUGGAUCACCUCCUUACC